UACGGAGGGGGCUAGCGUUGUUCGGAAUUACUGGGCGUAAAGCGCACGUAGGCGGCUUUGUAAGUUAGAGGUGAAAGCCCGGGGCUCAACUCCGGAAUUGCCUUUAAGACUGCAUCGCUAGAAUUGUGGAGAGGUGAGUGGAAUUCCGAGUGUAGAGGUGAAAUUCGUAGAUAUUCGGAAGAACACCAGUGGCGAAGGCGACUCACUGGACAUGUAUUGACGCUGAGGUGCGAAAGCGUGGGGAGCAAACAGG
rnacentral:rRNA from 1 species